rnacentral:tRNA from 1 species
GGAGGGUUGGCCGAGUGGUCUAAGGCGAUGGUCUCGAAAACCAUUCUCCCAUAGGGAGGCACAGGUUCGAAUCCUGUACCCUCCG